rnacentral:rRNA from 1 species
UACGUAGGGGACGAGCGUUGUCCGGAAUUAUUGGGCGUAAAGAGCGUGUAGGCGGCUCUGCAAGUCCUGCGUGAAAUCUCGAGGCUCAACCUCGAGCGGUCGUGGGAAACUGGAGGGCUAGAGUGCGGGAGAGGGAAGUGGAAUUCCAGGUGUAGCGGUGAAAUGCGCAGAUAUCUGGAAGAACACCCGUGGCGAAGGCGGCUUCCUGGAACGACACUGACGCUGAGGCGCGAAAGCGUGGGGAGCAAACAGG